UGGCUCAGUUGGUAGAGAAUGGCGCUUGCAACACCAGGGUUGUGGGUUCGACUCCCAC
rfam:Salmo salar isolate Sally breed double haploid chromosome ssa04, whole genome shotgun sequence.